GAUUUUUUGUAUAUGAUUUUUCGUAUAUGACUUUUCGUAUAUGACUUUUGUAUAUGACUUUUGUAUAUGACUUUCGUAUAUGACUUUCGUAUAUGACUUCCUGUUUCGUAUAUGGCUUGGUGUGUUACGAGGCGAGACCGAGGGUGACGUCAGGCAUUUCGAACCUUCGUGUGACCCCAAGCUAAGAACCGAGGACUAACGAACGACUCUUUCCUCUUCGUAAUGAACUAACAUCAUCGAAACCACAUAUUACGUAAGCAAGGUCAAAGUUCGUCUUGUCCUAACAUCAUCAAAACCACAUUUUACAUAAGCAAGGUCAGUUCAUCUUGUCCUAACAUUGAUGAAACCACAUUUUACGUAAGCAAGGUCAGUUUGUCUUGUCCUAACAUCACUGAAACCACAUUUUACAUAAGCAAGGUCAGUUUGUCUUGUCCUAACAUCUUCAAAACCACAUUUUACAUAAGCAAGGUCAGUUUGUCUUGUCCUAACAUCACUGAAACCACAUAUUACGUAAGCAAGGUCAGAGUUUGUUUUGUCCUAACAUCUUCAAAACCACAUUUUACGUAAGCAAGGUCAGAGUUCGUUUUGUCGUAACAUCGUCAAAACCACAUUUUACAUAAGCAAGGUCAGUUUGUCUUGUCCUAACAUCGCCGAAACCACAUUUUAGGUAAGCAAGGUCAGAGUUCGUUUUGUCCUAACAUCGUCAAAACCACAUUUUACGUAAGCAAGGUCGGUUUGUCUUUCUUGCCGUUACGCUCGUAGACACAAAGACGCAUCAGACGUGACCUUCGAUCGCGUCUCGUAACCACCACCACCAUUUUUUUUUCCCCGUCACGCAGCGUCCGUGCGAGGGUCAUAUUUAGCGGCGGUCGUGUUUUAAGCAUCGCCGACGCUUUGUUCGUUGUGUUGCCUCUUGUGUUGCUGUGUGUUCUGCUUGCAAGGCUUGUUACGCUGCCUGGACUUAAUUGUGUGAGUGAGUGAGUGAGUGAGUGAGUGAGUGAGUGAGUGAGCGAGUCGAUGUGAUGGCAACCCGGGAUUAGAGAGAAAGAGAGAGAACGAGAUAGAUGGAGCGUGUGUGUGUGUGUGUGUGUGUGUGUGUGUGUGUAAGUGGUUUAGGCAAAGUUUAAUAAUAGCUUGUGUUUCAUCCAGUUUGUCUUGAGGUGAAAAGAUAUCUGGGUCAAGGAAGGUCAUAGGUCAUAGAUGGAGCGUGUGUGUGCGAGUGGUUUAGGCAAAGUUUGAUAGCUUGUGUUUCAUCCAGUUUGUCUUGAGGUGAAAAGAUAUCUGGGUCAAGGAAGGUCAUAGGUCAUAGAUGGAGCGUGUGUGUGUGUGUGUGUGUGUGUCGAGAGCCUGCUUGCCGCACAUACUUGUUUUGCCGUUCGAUUUGCCAUUUUUUUCGUUUAUGACCAGUUGUAUAUUUUCCACGUUUUUCUGGUUUUGUUUUGUAUACAACUUGCCUUUUUUUGGUGUGUGUGUGUGUGUGUGUGUGUGUGUGUGUGUGUGUGUGUGUGUGUGUGUGAUCCGUCUUCCCAUUUCCCCCGUUCCGUUCUUCAUCACUCAAAUUUCAGUGUGUUUUGAGUUUUCCACCUGACAUCUGCUUUGCCUUGCUUUUUUUUCAUUUUUCCACCCUUCUAGUUUCCAUUCCUCAUCUCCUAUUCAACGGAAAGUGGAGGUGGACUGGCCGCUGUUAUGCCCACCUUCCACCUUCCACCGUUCGUCCUCUUCUUCUGACCUGUAGUGCGUUUGAUAAUAUGUUCAACUUCUCUCGUAUUCCGCCUGUAUUUCUAUCUUCACUCCUCCCACCCUCAAUUUUUCCCUCCGUCUCGAUCCGUGUUGUUCCGUGGAUUAAUGACAUUCCAUCCUGGAGGCGUCGGUGUGUCCAGCGGCGUGUAGUGACUUGUAGACAUGCCGAACACUCUCAAUAUUAAGUAACUCUCUCCUCCAUCCAGCUUGUACGUGGAACUCUCUUGAUGAUGUCCUGUUUUCUCUGUUUCUUGAGGUAUGGUGAUUCUUCAGUGGUCUGUUUCUCUUAGUCUGGGUCUGGGCAAGGGCUAGCUAGGGUCUCAAUUACACUCAUUUUUAAGGGUCAUCAUUUGUUAACUUUCUUUGCGAUGUUCUGUUUUGUCUGUUUCUUGGGUGACGGUAAUUCUUCAGUGGUCUGUUUCUCUUAGUCUGGGUCUGGGGAAGGCUAGCUGGGGUCUCAAUUACACUCAUUUUUAAGGGUCAUCAUUUGUUAACUUUCUUUGCGAUGUUCUGUUUUGUCUGUUUCUUGGGUUAUGGUGAUUCUUCAGUGGUCUGUUUCUCUUAGUCUGGGUCUGGGCAAGGGUUAGCUGGGGUCUCGAUUUCACUCAUUUUUAAGGGUCAUCAUUUGUUAACUUUCUUUGCGAUGUUCUGUUUUGUCUGUUUCUUGGGUGACGGUAAUUCUUCAGUGGUCUGUUUCUCUUAGUCUGGGUCUGGGCAAGGCUAGCUAGGGUCUCAAUUACACUCAUUUUUAAGGGUCAUCAUUUCUUAACUUUCUUUGCGAUGUCCUGUAACUCUCUGCAAAGUCCUGUUUCUUGGGUUAUGGUAAUUCUUCGGUGGCCUGUCUCUCUCGGUCUGGGUCUGGGCGAGGGUUAGCUGGUGCCCUAUUCACUCAUUUUUAAGGGUCAUAAAUUCUUAACUAGGUACAUAAAUGGCAUUAGAUUUCCUCCUUUUUCUGUGUGUGUGUGUGUGUGUGUGAGUUGUUUCUGUUAUGAAUUUUUCUGGUGUGCGUUAAAUUUUCAGGCACUUAUUUUAUCCUGUCUCAUGUGUACGUAUGUUAUAAUCACACACACACACACACACACACACAUAUCUAGUUUCCCAGUUUCCCCAAAAGAAGAAUUAUCGCCCACUUUCCAAUCUUCAGUUUUCCCCGACUGACAUGUCACUGAAAUGUAUCGUUGGGGGGCCGGGUCUGCAUUUCCUUAUUAUUAUUAUCCUCGGAGACGGAACAGGUAGAGAGGGCGGACACAGGCAGGGCUAAUGUGUCACUGUGGGAUGUAUCGCUGGGUCUGGGAUUCAUACUUUGGGGGUUAUGUGUCACUGGAAUGUGUUUGGGAUUGGUCGAGAUGAUUACAUGUCUUAGUCUGGUACUCUCAAGCUCUUCCGACUCCCUCAUCCACUAUUUCAAAGGCCCACAAAGGAAGGAGUCGGGUUCUAAUGAGUGUUCUUUUAGGUUCACGGUACAGAGGAAGGCUCAGACUACCACCAGGGUCAUAAAAGUACCCCUGGAAAUGCCCUAAACUCCCACGAAAGACUAGUAAAUUACGUGUUCCUGGGCGCAGAAAUGUUUAAAAAUAUGGCCUUAUGUGUCACUGGAAUGUGUUUGGGUUUGGUCGAGAUGUUUGCAUGUCUAACUCUGGUAUUCUCAAGCGCUUCUGCCUCCCUCGUCAACUAUUUCAAAAGCCCACAAAGGAAGGAGUCAGGUUGUAAUGAGUGUUUCUAUAGGCUCAUGGUACAGAGGAAGGGUCAGACUACCACCAGGGUCAUAAAACUGUUUCUGAAAAUGCCCACAACUCCCACGAAAGCCUUGUCAAAUGUGUGUUUCUUAGGUUCAUGGUACAGCAGAAGGGUCAAACUACCCCUGGAAAUGCCCACAACUCCUCUGAAAGCCUUGUCAAAUGUGUGUUUCUUAGGUUCAUGAUACAGAAGGGUCAGACUAUCACCAGAAUCAUAAAACUACCCCUGGAAAUGCCCACAACUCAUACGAAAGCCUUGUCAAAUGUGUGUUUCUUAGGUUCAUGGUUCAGAAGGAGGGUCACACUACCACCAGGGUCAUAAAACUACCCCUGGAAAUGCCCACAGCUCCCACGAAAGCCUGGUCAAAUAUGUGCUUGGGUCAUUAACCAUUUCGACACCUAAGCUCACAUAUAACAAGGCUUUCAUAGGAGUUCCGGGCAUUCCCAGGGGUAGCUUAAUGACCCUGGUGGUAGUUCGACCCUUCCUCUGUACCACGAACCUAAAAAGCGACUCAUUCUAACCCAACUGAUCUCCUUUUUUGGACUUUGAAAAUACUUGACGAGGCGCGGUUGCAUCUGAGAAUCACCCAAGUAAGCGGCCCUUAAUCUGGUAUGGGUAGUGUUACUGGUGGUCAUCGGAGAGAAUCACUUAAAUUACGCGAGUUAGUGGUGCCGAGGGAGUUUUUCUGGAUUGGUUUGUGUUACGGCUGUGUUACUUGGGCGAGCGGACUGUGAUUGAGCUAUGGGGCGUGAGGGAUAACACACACACACACUCACACACACACACACAUACACACACUCUCAUAUCUUCCUUGUGGUAAAGUGAAUGGAUGGAAAUGCAAGGAAGGGAUGAGAGAGUUGAUUAGAUAGAGGAGGAGGAGGAGGAGGAGGAAGGGAAGAAAAGGAGGGGAUAGAGAAGAAGAAGAAGGACGGAAGGAAGAGAGGAAAUAAAGAUGGGAAAUUAGGAAGAGAGGAAAGAAGAGAAGGAAGGAAGGAGGAGGAAGAGAAGAAGAGGAAAGAAGAGGAAGAGAAAUGGUAGAGAGGAGAGAAAGAAGAGAAGGAGGAGGGAGAAAGAGGAAUUAUAGAAGAGAGGAAGUAGAAAAAGGAGGAGGAGGAGGAGGAGGAAGAGAGGAAAGAGGAGGAAUUACAGAAGACAGGAUGUAGAAAAAGGAAGAGGAGGAGGAGAAGGGGAAGAAGAGGAAGAAGAAGAAGAGGAGGAGGAGGAGGAAAUGGGAGAGAGAAAUUAUAGAAAACAGGAAGUAGAAAAAGGAAGAGGAGGAGGAGAAGGGAAAGAAGAGGAAGAAGAGGAGGAGGAGGAGGAGGAAAUGGGAGAGAGAAAUUAUAGAAAACAGGAAGUAGAAAAAGGAAGAUGAGGAGGAGAAGGGGAAGAAGAGGAAGAAGAAGAGGAGGAGGAGGAGGAGGAAGAAGUUAAGUGAAAUCCCCAAAUAAGGUAUUGGAACCCAUAUAACAUUUUGAUCCGAACCUCUUCUUGGACGACCUUAGUGAUGAUAGAGGUGAUGGUGAUGGUGGUGAUGGUGGUAGUGGUGUGUACAGUUGGGCGCGCACACACACGUACACACACACACACACACGGUCUCAUCUUGUAUAUAGCACACACACACACACACACACAUCACCUUUGUACAAAAAAAAAAGAAGAAAAAGAAUUACAUGUAGGAAAGUGCUUUGUUAUAUAAUCACACACACACACACACACAUGUACACACAAUCUCUCACACACACACAUACGUACACAGUCUCUAUCUCUCUCUCUCUCACACACACACACACACACACUCACUCAUUCAUCUCCCUUGACAUCUUAAAGCGAUUUCGUAUAAGUAACUCUCAGUAUUUCCCUUCCGAGUGGUUUUCCGAGUCAUCAGCGCUGCGACAUGGCUGACUUAGACAUUCUCAAACGUACCAUUCUCCCAUUACGCCUUAGUUUCCGAGGCCACAGGAAAGAUUAACCGGGCUUUCGUUGGUGGUUUUUCCGUUUGUGGUGCGGAAAUCUCGUAAAAACAACCACCAGUGUCACGAAACAGCCCAUGAAAAUCCCCUGCAACUUACACAAGAAGGGAAUUUAAUACGUAGGUGGAUUGAGUUGGCGAUAUGUUUAAGAAUACGGACUUUCGUGUUGGAGGGUCUUACGUAGAGUGUUGCGUCGUGUCGGGAACUUAAAGGGGGGGGUUGGGCGUAGCGUUGACUCGUAACACCCACGGCAGAAUUUACGAUAGGUGUUGCAUCGGAAACUUUCACGUUGAGGUUAAUUAAAAUCGUAAAACCGUUUGCCCGAGCGUGACGAGAUGGUGAUUGUGUGAGAAAUGAAGGAGCCCUGAGGAAGAUUGUGAAGGGUAGCGAUUGUGUUCCGACAGCGAAGAUUGUAUAGGAAUGAAUAUGAUUGUGAAUAGCUGUGAAUGUGUCAUGUGUGUUAAGGAAUGUGAUUGUGUGAAAUGUAUGAGCUGGGAGUGAGAUUGUGUUGUGAUUGUGUUGAUUGUGAAGGAAUGGUGAGUAUGAUUGUGAAAAUGUAAGAUGGUGAUUGUGAGAGAGAUAGAGUUUUUAGUAAGAUUGUGAACUGUAGUGAUUGUGUUAAGUGUGGUGAGAUUGUGUUGAUUGUGUAGAAAUGGUGAAUAUGAUUGUGGAAAGCAGUGAAUAUGUUAAGUAUGAGAUGGUGAUUGUGUGAGAGAUAUAGGAGUUCUGAGUAAGAUUGUGAACUGUAGUGAUUGUGUCGUGUGGUGAGAUUGUGUUGAUUGUGUAGAAAUGAUGAAUAUGAUUGUGAAAAGCAGUGAAUAUAUUAAGUAUGAGAAGAUGGUGAUUGUGUGAGAGAUAUAGAGUUUCUGAGUAAGAUUGUAGAGGUUAGUGAUUGUGUUAAGUGUAGUAGGAUUGUGGAGAUUGUGUAAGCAAUUUAGGAAUGGUGAAUCCAAUUGUGAAUUCCUGUAGGUGAGAUUGUGUUGAUUGUGUAAGAGGUAUAGGAGCUCUGGGCAAGAUUGUGUACGGUGAUUGUGUUCAGUGUUGGAAGAUUGUGUAAGAGCUGUAGAAUGGUGAAGAUGAUUGUGAACUCCUGUAGAUAUGUGGUUUGAUAAGAUUGUAAUGAUUGUAGGAACUCUGAGCAAGAUUGUGGAGUGAUUGUCGAUUGUGCAGUGUGACCAGACAGGAUGAUUAGUAGACUCAAACUUAGUGGGUGUGAUUGUAGAGAAAAAAAGAGUGAUUGUAUGGAUUUUUAGUGAUUGUAGGAGAUCUGAGCAAGAUUGUGAAGUGAUUGUCGAUUGUGCAGUGUGACCAGACAGGAUGAUUAGGAGACUCAAACUUAGUGGGUGUGAUUGUAGAGAAAAAAAGAGUGAUUGUAUGCAUUUUUGGUGAUUGUAGGAGAUCUGAGCAAGAUUGUGAAGUGAUUGUUGAUUGUGCAGUGUGACCAGACAGGGUGAUAAGGAAAUGCAAACUAAUGUGGGUGUGAUUGUAGAGAAAAAAAGUGAUUGUAUGGAUUUUUGGUGAUUGUAGGAGAUCUGAGCAAGAUUGUGAAGUGAUUGUUGAUUGUUAUGACCAGACAGGGUGAUAAGGAAAUGCAAACUAAUGUGGGUGUGAUUGUAGAGAAAAAGUGAUUGUAUGCAUUUUUGGUGAUUGUAGGAGAUCUGAGCAAGAUUGUGAAGUGAUUGUUGAUUGUGCAGUGUGACCAGACAGGAUGAUUAGUAGACUCAAACUUAGUGGGUGUGAUUGUAGAGAAAAAAAGUGAUUGUAUGGAUUUUUGGUGAUUGUAGGAGAUCUGAGCAAGAUUGUGAAGUGAUUGUCGAUUGUGCAGUGUGACCAGACAGGAUGAUUAGUAGACUCAAACUUAGUGGGUGUGAUUGUAGAGAAAAAGAGUGAUUGUAUGCAUUUUUGGUGAUUGUAGGAGAUCUGAGCAAGAUUGUGAAGUGAUUGUUGAUUGUUAUGACCAGACAGGGUGAUAAGGAAAUGCAAACUAAUGUGGGUGUGAUUGUAGAGAAAAAAAGUGAUUGUAUGCAUAUUUGGUGAUUGUCGCAAGGAAAGAACCCCCAAGCCAGUGGACGAUUGUUUGAGGUACAGCCGCGAUUAUAAGGCCCACGAAGGCUGUACAAUCAUCUCGGUACCGACAUCUAUAACAAUCACAGUGGGGUUUCUUUACGUAAUAUAUUUUCUGCCCUUGAUCUGCCUCGCCGUCAAUAAAAAGUGCAAUCGGAAAAGUUGAAGCGAUUGUUAAGUGUAGCAAGAUGGUGACGUUUGUAUCGGAACAGUGACUAUGAUUGUGACAAGCGGUGGAUAAUCUAUCAUCUUGGCUAGGUUACGACACACCACAGUCGCUGAAACGAAGGGAAAGCACACACACACACACACACACAGUUUCCCUCCGUCAAACACAACCCAGUUCAGCCGCAGGGAAGGAAGCAAGGAAGGCCAGGCAGCUGUUCUCGUUCCAACCCGUGAUCCCGUGUUAAAACAGUGUAUAAGAUCUCAUGCAUUAGUGGGACCAAGAACUUACGGUUGGGUCCCAUGGCACACACACGCCUGGAGAGAGUCGGGUGUCGGGUGUGUGUGUGUGGAAGAUGAAAGUGCGUUCGGCGUGGUCAGGCGUUUCUAGGGGUGUGGAAAUGUUAUAUAAUACUUGCCAUAUAUAUAUACAGGUUACCUUUUCAUUAUAUUAUAGUUAGUUUAUCAUUAUAUCUUUCCCUUCUCGUCCAUUCCCCCCUCCACACCACUAAAGACUAGGCUGUUAUUUCCCUAUUCCCCUCCCCUCCCCUUGUUUCCUGAGGCAGUAAGGUCCGGUAAUUGUUAUAACAUAUCUUCCUCCUUUUUCUAAGAUGAACUAAAUGUACUAUGCUUUUUAACAUGUAAUAUUGGACAGUAAUUCCCCCAUAACCUCCCCUAUAAUUCCUUCCCCCUCCUGUCUCUCUCCGGCAUAUGACCACAGAUGUUGCGCCGACUAAACGAAACUUUCCAACUUUUCCCCCGUAACCUGCUAGUCAAUGCCCAAUUUUUAUCCGGAAAUUGUAUGUUUAUCGAGGUGGCCAAAUGACUAUUAAAGCUUACUUAACAUGAGGCUUUUCUUUCAGCCAAGCGCAGGGCGGACGGCUCUUUGCGUUGUUAUGUAAUAGCUCAGCGUUGGGGUGGAGGUCAGGCUUGCCGGUAACUCUUUUGUACGGGGACAUUUGAAGAAUAAAGGAAAAAAGUGC